GCUCCGUUGGUGAACCAGCGGAGGGAUCAUUACAGGACUCGCAAGACUCCUUCACCCUGUGAACCUCACUACAAGCACGUUACUUCAGCGGUUGUCCCGGCGGGGGUUUUCCCUCGCCGGGGCGAACAGCCCGCCGGCAUCCUACUAUACUCUUGCUCUUUGCGUUGGCAUCCCGAGAAAAAACAAACAAGUUAAAACUUUCAACAACGGAUCUCUUGGUUCUG
rnacentral:misc_RNA from 1 species